rnacentral:ribozyme from 1 species
GAAAAAAAAAUCGUAUGUCUAUGUGCCUUGUUCUCUCACUUGUACUUUUUCCUUUUUUAACCAUAAUGAUUGUAGACUGAUUAUCUUGGUAAAUUUU